GCCAGUUCUUGGGGAAGUAACGUUGUUUUUCGUCAUGUGGGAGAUUGAAAAUGGAUGAAGAUUCGGACUCGGCUGAGGUGGCAAGCUGAGAGGAGAUUGAGUGAUUGGUGAGUUGGAAGAAACCGUGUUGUUUGGCAGCGGAGAAGAGGUUAGAGUGAAUAGUUGGUUUAGGGUCGGAGAGAGAGAUGAGAGGCGGAGAAGUGGUGGUUGAUGGCUGAGAUUGGCGGCGACCAGGGAAGGAGAGAGAGAGGGUGGGUGGAAUACGGUGCAGGAGACGGGAGAGAGAGUCAGCGGCUUCGGAGGUGGAAAGGAGGUUAUUAGGUUGGGUUGAAGGAGUUGGUGGCGGAGCUGUGGUGGUUCCGUAGGGAGUAGGGAGGUGAUGGAGGUGGUGUUCGUGUGUGGACGACGCCAUGUAUUUUGUUGCUGAUGUUUUUG
rnacentral:lncRNA from 1 species